rnacentral:rRNA from 1 species
AGAGUUUGAUCCUGGCUCAGAAUGAACGCUGGCGGCGUGCUUAACACAUGCAAGUCGCACGAGAACGCUUCAGCUUGCUGAAGUUAGUAAAGUGGCGCACGGGUGAGUAACACGUGGAUAACCUACCUAAGGUUCUGGAACAACAUUGCGAAAGCGAUGCUAAUACCGGAUGAAAUGUAUUUCUCUUCGGAGGUUUACAUGAAAGAGUGCCUCUAUUUAUAAGCAUUUGACAUUAGAUGGGUCCGCGGAUCAUUAGCUUGUUGGUGGGGUAAUGGCCUACCAAGGCGACGAUGAUUAGCUGGUCUGAGAGGAUGAUCAGCCACACUGGAACUGACACACGGUCCAGACUCCUACGGGAGGCAGCAGUGAGGAAUUUUGCGCAAUGGGCGAAAGCCUGACGCAGCAACGCCGCGUGAGUGAAGAAGGCUCUUGGGUCGUAAAGCUCUGUCAACAGGGAAGAAACAGUUUGUGGUUAAUAGCUGCAAGCCUUGACGGUACCUGUGAAGGAAGCACCGGCUAACUCCGUGCCAGCAGCCGCGGUAACACGGGGGGUGCAAGCGUUAUUCGGAAUUAUUGGGCGUAAAGCGCAUGUAGGCGGAAAAGUCAGUCAGAUGUGAAAGCCCGGGGCUCAACCCCGGAAGUGCAUUUGAAACAGCUUUUCUUGAGUACUGGAGAGGAAAGUGGAAUUCCUGGUGUAGAGGUGAAAUUCGUAGAUAUCAGGAGGAACACCGGUGGCGAAGGCGACUUUCUGGACAGAUACUGACGCUGAGAUGCGAAGGCGUGGGGAGCGAACAGGAUUAGAUACCCUGGUAGUCCACGCAGUAAACGUUGUUCACUAGGGUUGGAGGGCUUGUUCCUUUAGUGGCGCAGCUAACGCGUUAAGUAGACCGCCUGGGGAGUACGGCCGCAAGGUUAAAACUCAAAUGAAUUGACGGGGGCCCGCACAAGCGGUGGAGCAUGUGGUUUAAUUCGAUGCAACGCGAAGAACCUUACCAGGCCUUGACAUCCUAGGAAUCUUGUAGAGAUACGAGAGUGCCUUCGGGAAUCUAGUGACAGGUGCUGCAUGGCUGUCGUCAGCUCGUGUCGUGAGAUGUUGGGUUAAGUCCCGUAACGAGCGCAACCCUUGUCCUUAGUUGCCAGCACGUAAUGGUGGGAACUCUAAGGAGACUGCCGGUGACAAACCGGAGGAAGGUGGGGACGACGUCAAGUCAUCAUGGCCCUUACGACCUGGGCUACACACGUGCUACAAUGGAACGCACAGAGGGCAGCAAACCCGCGAGGGGGAGCGAAUCCCACAAAACGUUUCGUAGUCCGGAUCGGAGUCUGCAACUCGACUCCGUGAAGUCGGAAUCGCUAGUAAUCGUGAAUCAGAAUGUCACGGUGAAUACGUUCCCGGGCCUUGUACACACCGCCCGUCACACCAUGGGAGUGGGUUGCUCCAGAAGUGGUUAGCCUAACCUUCGGGAGGGCGAUCACCACGGCGAUCACCACGGAGUGAUUCAUGACUGGGGUGAAGUCGUAACAAGGUA